CCUCUCCGACGCCGGUGGAGCUGAAGCUCGCCGGCGUCAGAAUCUCUCUCUCAUUUCUCAAGUUGUUUCCUUUAUCUUCAAGCUAAAUUUUCGCUUCGAUUUAAUUUUCCUCUUUUGCAAUCCCUUUAAUCCAAACCUAUCGAACCUUUCUCUACUGUUGAAUCCCCUCUUUGCAGCAGUGCGUUCCGACAUAGUUAGACAGUGGCCUCUGAGCCAUCUACACUCUCUGCCAACACUUUGCGAAUCAAAGACAACAGUGACUGAAUCUUUCGACUCCACUUGCGUUCAACUUUUCUAUUUUGAGAUUUGUCUCCAUCGCCAUAUCGUCCCUAGAUCCACGGGCCCUCUUUGCUCCCAAGGUUUUCUCCAUCGAUCUGUUGCAAAACUUUCAGCCGUGGUUUCAUCCUCCGCGUCGGAUCCGCCAUACAGUUUUCUCACCCUGACUCUUGCUUUAUCGAAGAUGUCUGCUCCAACGACGCGGUCCGUACCCCUCCACCGUAGCCGCCGCGCCUCCAACGCUUCUUGCCCAGCAAUCUGGUUUCUAGGGUUUGCCUUUAUGGGCCCUAUAACCAUUGUUGGCCCAUUUCCCCUGCGGCCCAAGCCCAUAUUUUGCGACCCAAGUCCUUUACCAAUUAAGCCCAGGUUUAUGUAGGGCUAUGCUUUAUGUUUGCUUUUUGAAGUCUCUUGGUCUAGUUUUGAUGCGUCCAAUCUGUCGGAGAUGUGACGCUGGUCACCAAAGCCCUCUAUCAAAGUACUUCAUGCCGACAUCUAUAUCGACCAACUUCAAGAACAUCCCAACCAUCUUUCCUUCCCGAGUUUGGAUCAAGCUUCCCGACUACAAGCUUUGUGUGGAAUUCCUUAAUCUCCUUGGCCGCUAUGGACUUCUUGUGAGAGAGGACCCACCUGUUUUGUUACGGUAUCGCAUCAAUCUAUCUACGCCUCGACGAUCAUUCUCUCUCUACCAAAACCUUGUCCGAACCUUUGCCAAAGCUCUACUUAGUGUAGUACUUCUCGUCCCGACGAGACUCUUGUCUUUGGCGCCCUUGUUAACGUUACUACGUCUUGUGACAGUAACCACUUUCUCUCUCGCUGCUUUGUUCGUGGAAGUAUUGUCAACAAUCCUCGACCUUACAAGUACCAAAUUGCCUCCGUGUGUUUGGUUCAUAGCUCUCUUGGAAUUUUUGUUGAUAUAUUUUAUUUGUGUGUUUGCUUUUCUUCUUAUGGUAUUGGCGAAUGCCUACUUUUGUUAUCUUUUAAACUUUGGGAUCUUAGAAUCCUCUUUCCAUUGUACUUGUUUCUAUCUUAGUUGUAUGAAAACAAGCAUUUGUCC